GGUGAGAGCGAAGGGCACCCGGUGUCUUCGAUGGGAGCUCGGGUCGGGUGGGUGUCGAGGGACGAGGAAAAAUGUGUGUGAGGGAAAAAGAGCGAGACCCACGAGCGGCGCUCCCGAUAGGACGAGAAGCUCGCGAGCUGCCGGAGGGCGCAGCGGCGAAGGGCCGCCACCGAAGAGCGAUAGAAGGGCGGGCUGGGACGAAGAGAGGGAACGAGGCACAUGAGUGCGACACGGAACGAGCAAAGUUCAGGGGAUUCCCCCUUGAGAGGAAAUUUAUUACACUAUCAAAGCACCCGCUGGAAAAUCGAGGAAUCGGAAAAAGUCUGAAAAGCUCGAUAAAACGAAUGCGAAAGUUUUUCGUUUUUUCCAACUCGAGCUACGGGAAUGAUACAAUCGCGGUGGCGAGCGCGAAGAGAAAAAGUGCAACGAUGCGUCGGGGCGUUGAGAUUCUCGAAGCCUCGCUUUCCCCUGCCAAAGAAGAGUCACGAGAGCGAGAAAACUUGAGCAGGUAGAUACAAAGAACUUGAAAAUGUGCAGGGGGUCGAAUACGCGGCACUCGAACGAGAAAUACGAUUGGAAAAAUAGCGGGACGAGGAGAGAUGGAAGUCGUUACUAUUACGUGGUGUCUAAUAAGCAGGAAAGAACGACGGAGAGAGAAGACGGCGGCACGCACUCAUCCGCUAUUAAUAGAAACUUGCUCAAAAUUCUAUUUCGAGUCUCCGGUUUUCUCGCGCGUCUUGGUGGAUCUUUUACACGUACGCUAGUCCUCCCUCUCUAAUAUCGAGGCGUGUACUAUACGUCGGAGUACAUAAAAAGCGGGUAGUUUGCAGAGAAAAAGUGCUUAAAUCCGCAGGGCUAUGGAAGUGGAGGCUCACACGGAAACUUUGCUGCUAACUCGCUCCGAGCAAUGAUUCGAUGAGAGUCAAACCGUCAGAGUCAUGAGGCUGAUCAUUUUUUCUCGAAUCUUGAGAUUCGAGAACAUGCAUUUAUCGAUUAAAUAUUUCGACUCGAAGCGUAUUUCUUUGGAGACGAUAACCAGACUGAGAAAUCAAACUUCGGCGUUGCACACGCGACGCGAUAGACAUAACACGAGAAAUUGAGCGAGGUUCGAAGAGCUCCUCCACAGCACGAAGGAGCAAGAACUUUUGCUGAUUCGACAAACUUUGAUGACACAGAAAUUCAUGAUUCUGUGCCUCAUCAGCAAAUUAACGAACGAGCAUAAAAAUCGGAGCAAAAUUGCAAAGUUACUAAUACACUGGGAAAAACAAAAUCAUUGCAACAACUGAAUGUCCUUAGUUGAUAUUUUCGUUGCUUGAUUUAACUAACAUCCGCUUGCGGUAAAUAAAGUUCAUCUGUUCGAAUCACUGAAUUUUUGUUCAUGCGAAUUACCUAAGCGAGUGAAACCAAUUAUCUUGUUCGAAAAACUCGAAACAUUUGUUUAUUUCUACUUAAUUUACAUACACCUUUAUCUAUUUAUUUGAAUAUCAAGAACUGAAGUGUCCAAACGGUUUUGUUGAGAUGAUCAAUAUUUUGUAAAUCGAAUCGUACGGAUCGGUUCAAUACGACUCAAAAUUUGUUGAAAUUUAUUAUUGCUAAUCCAACAGGAUUUUUGCAAAAUAACAAAUCGUUUCACGCAGCUUAACAAAAUCUUAUCGAUGACGAACCAAACCAGUUGUCCAUGCAAAUGUCUACCUUAAAAUAAAGUUCAGUAUAUUGUAUUCGGUAAAUCAACCAAAUUUCUGCCCGAUCGAAUACUUGAUUUUCUUUAUUUCACUUAGUGUUACGAAAAACUUUUUUGCAUGUAUUCCUAGUUUUCGGACGCAUUAAGCGUGUUUGAUAAUCAAAUAAAUGAAUUUUCUAUUA